GCAGUCACAGCUGACUGCAGUACUGCCAGGAGCCACUAGAUGCCCCCACUUCUAUGGACGGAGCCAUCUCAUCACCUGAGGACUCAGGAACAAACGAGAGACUGCUGCCUGGGGCCAGUACAGAGGAACUAAAAGGCUAAUGAAGUCUCAAAUACUCCAGAGAUUCAUCCCAUCUUCAAUUCAAGGUGACUUCUCACAGCAUCAAGUCCAUCCUCUCCCAUAAAGCCUCUAGUCCUGAAGUUCCAUGUGCUUCAUCACAGCUAGUCUUUCCAACUACAGUACUCCUAUCUGUCGUGGCGGAUCUGAGAACAUACGCCAAUUCCACAGGAGCCAUCUUUCAUGAUGAGAUGCCCUCAUCCAGUUUCUCAGAUACGGCGCUUGAGUACAAAGACAAAGUUUCAGACGAACAUUGGUCGCAGUAUCCGUUGUGACUAAGCUGCCAGGGCCAGCAAAACUGCAUCCCAAGCAAAUAACUGUAAAAGAUAAUAUGGGCAUAGGGAUGGAGUUAAUGUUCUGAAAUACCAGUAUAUAUGUGAAAAGCAAUUAAGGGAAUUUUAGCUGGGAGUGGGGAUGUAUUUUGCCAAUAUGGCCUGGUGUCAAAAACACCUUGCACCACCACCAGUUACAGAUGUCCUGACUCACAGAAUACGUGAAUAACCUCAGUGAGAUUUCUUGAGUUCAUAGCGUGGUAGUAGGACAUGAGGAAUAAUCUGUUUUUAUGGCAACAGCCCUUAAUCUUUAUGUGUGACCGCAACCAUAAGAGAUCCACACUAUGAAGCCAUUGUGUAAUCUGGUUGGUCACAAAAUAAUUGAUUAUUAUCACGGGAAAUCUGCAAAUGCAUCUGAUUGUACCUUUGCUGUGGCAAAAUAUUUCUGUCAAUCAUCAACAAAGCCGAAACUGUAAUCCUUACGUAAUUCCCUUUCUUGAUGCACUAAUUGGCAUGAGUAGUACAUUGUGACA